AGAGUUUGAUCAUGGCUCAGGAUAAACGCUGGCGGCGUGCUUCAGGCAUGCAAGUCGAACGGUCUUCCGACUUCGGUCGGAGGAUAGUGGCGAACGGGUGAGUAACACGUAAGUAACCUGCCCAGAAGUGGGGAACAACCGGCCGAAAGGCUGGCUAAUACCGCAUGUGAUGACACUUCCCUGGAGGUGUCAUUAAAGGCUUAGGUCGCUUCUGGAGGGGCUUGCGGCUGAUUAGCUAGUUGGUGGGGUAAUGGCCUACCAAGGCUACGAUCGGUAGCUGGUCUGAGAGGACGGACAGCCACACGGGGACUGAGAUACGGCCCCGACUCCUACGGGAGGCAGCAGCUAGGAAUCUUGGGAAUGGGCGAAAGCCUGACCCAGCAACGCCGCGUGGGCGAUGAAGGCCUUCGGGUCGUAAAGCCCUUUUGUGGGGGAAGAUUAUGACGGUACCCCACGAAUAAGCCACGGCUAACUACGUGCCAGCAGCCGCGGUAAUACGUAGGUGGCAAGCGUUGUCCGGAUUUACUGGGCGUAAAGGGCGUGCAGGCGGUUUGCUAAGUCUAGGGUGAAAGCUCCCGGCUUAACUGGGAGAGGUCCUUGGAUACUGGCAGACUUGAGGAGGGUAGAGGAGGGUGGAAUUCCCGGUGUAGUGGUGAUAUGCGUAGAUAUCGGGAGGAACACCAGUGGCGAAGGCGGCUCUCUGGGCCCUACCUGACGCUGAGACGCGAAAGCGUGGGGAGCGAACCGGAUUAGAUACCCCCGUAGUCC
rnacentral:rRNA from 1 species